rnacentral:rRNA from 1 species
AUGAAUGUCUUAAGUUGGAACUGCCGAGGGGCGGGGAACCCUCGGACAGUUCGUGAUCUUGUGAGUCUUGUUCAGACUCACUCCCCUAGCAUUGUUUUUCUUUGUGAAACUCGACAGUCCAAGAAUAAAAUGAGUAGGUAUCGUGCUCCCUUAGGUUUAAAGGGUUUUGAUGCUUCUGAUAGUGUUGGUCUUAGUGGAGGUCUUGCUUUGUAUUGGCAUGAGGCGUUGUGU